UAUUUCUUCAAAUUAUUCUGGAUGGGAAUUUGUACUGAACCAGUGGCAUUGGGGAAACAUUGUGGUAAAGGGCCUCUGGGGACAGUCGUUCUUCGAGUUAUAUAAGAAAACUUUUUCUUUCUCAUUUGAUCAGGACAUUCCACUUCCAAAUAUCAACAUAAUACUGGAUUUUGAAGAUUACAAGAACUUUGUUAUAAAGUUUACCUGUCCAACUUUGGCCUCGUCAGUUGUCAGUACCACACACAUCAGGUUUCCUGUGGUGACAUUUAAAGUAAUUGAACAAGAUGAGUUUUGGCAAGAAGAAAGCAUAAGAUUAUUUUCUGUUUACUUUGUAUAUGAUGAAGACAUAUUGGCCAUAUCAUGGGACAUUAAUGAGUCAAGAUUGAAAGAAAUCUAUAGAGGAAUUAUGGAUGUGCUCUA